AAGAAGUCAUAUCCCCGGAGCCUUCGAAUCAAAAAGAGAAAAAAAGAAAAGAAAAGAAAAGAAAAAUCCCCUCCGCCUCCUCCCCCAAUCCUUAACCUAAACUCCGAUCCCCUCCGCCUUCCAUGGCUGCCAUGGGAAGAACUGUACUACCUUCCUAUGUUCUUCUGGAUCGCAUCGUUCGAUCGGAGGAGGAAGCCGUCGAGGAGGAGUCGGAGUGGGCGGCCAUGGAGUGCGCGGACUGGAAGUCGUACGGGUGCCACCCCGGUGACGAACGCUACCCCAGGAACGCCGCUAGGGUGAAGGGCAUGCUGCUCCUGGCGCGCCUCGCGGAGCCCCCGGGUCUCUCCGAGCUCUCCAUCCGCCUCUCCGCCGCCGCCGCCGUGCCCAGGCCGCCGCCGGCCAGCUUCCCCCCCGGCGCCGCCGUCCCGCCCAUCCCCAACUUGCCCGACGCGUCACCGUACGACGACCCGCCGCUCACCUACGUCGAGGCGGCAGGCGACGGCCUCAUCGCCCUCACCUCGUGCUUCCGGGAUGGCUGCAGCUGCUACCUCGUCUACGACGUCGUCGGCAAGUCGCUCUCCAUGAUCCCGGGCCUGCCCGAGUCCUGCCUCACCUACUGCAGCAUGCGGCCUCUCCCCCUGCGCACCGCCGCCGCCGGUGGCUACGCGCUGCGCAGCAGCUACUCGCUGGCCAUCGUGGCUAAGGACAUGCGGUUUGACAUGGAAGCGGGGCGAGACGUCUACCGGGAUGUUCUCUGCCUGUGCCCACCGCGGCCAUCAUCAUCCUCAAGUUCCAGGGGGGGCAUCACGCCAUGGCAAUUCAAGGACGCCAUCUUCCCAUCACAGAUGCCGGGUUCCUUCCACGGUGACAAGGUGUUCUCGUUCGGAGGCCACGCGUUCUGGGCCGACCUCGCAAAGGGCGUCCUCUUCUGUAGGUGCGACGAUGCUCUCUCCGGCCGCAAUGAUGAUGCCGUGCAAUUCCGCUACAUCCCGCUGCCUGUAGAGUGCCAUCUUAAAAUCAGUUUCGCCAUGAGGGGUGACCUCCAGCUAUGCCGCACAAUGAGCUGUGUCGACGGCUGCGGUGACUCUAUCAAGUUCGUCUGCAUCAGUGACGGCGGAUCCAGCUCUGCGCACACCGGCGAUCGUGCGAUAACGAUGUGGACACUGACCCUCGCAACCGGGGAGUGGCUGAAAGAUGCACAACUCAUGGUGGCAGAUCUGUGGGAGCUGGAGGGCUUCGACAAGGCGAGGUUGCCCAAGGCCAUACCAAUUAGCCCUGUCCUGAACCCUCAGGAAGAUGGUGUCCUUAGUUUCAUGCUCAACGAUGCCGAUGCAGAGCUGUACAUGGUCAGCCUUAACAUGCACAGCAAGAAGCUCCUCUCGUCCUUGACCCUCUCAUCCUGCCCUGAUGACAUUGUUCCUCCUUUGGGUUUGGAUCUUUCCAAAGACCUUCAGAAUCUGUCUCUUCGCCCUAUUGCUGCUGAGUCUGUUCCAGCCAAGACACAGGGACGCCCAAUUGCAACCAAGAGGAGGAGGUCGUCAUUACCGUAGUGACAUCUUUGUCAGGUAAUUCUACCGCUAUAAGCUUCUGCAGUCUGUCGAUGAGAUGAUGAGGUCAGUGGACGGCUCGUGAUGCUGGAGCAGACUUCAUUUUGCCAGGCUGCUGCUUACUUGGUAGGGUAGGGAUCGUAUUCUUCGUGCCGUCUUGCUGUUUUGCAAGCUGACUCUUUAGGUUUUAUAUUGCUGCCGCCACCGUUAUGAAAUCAGAUGAUGAACACAAUAUAAGAGAUUUUGGAUGGAUGUUACAUAACUAGUAUAAUAAAUCUAGUCACAUCCAUCCAAAAUAUAUUAUCAGAAUUAUAUUGCUUGACCAUACAUGACUAGUUGAGUAUUGCUAGUCGGAAUUGUUAAGAGUGGUUAACGUAAAGACCUUGUGAGAUUA